rnacentral:rRNA from 1 species
CCUACGGGUGGCAGCAGUGGGGAAUAUUGGACAAUGGGGGCAACCCUGAUCCAGCCAUGCCGCGUGUGUGAAGAAGGCCCUCGGGUUGUAAAGCACUUUCAGUGAGGAAGAACGCCUGGUGGUUAAUACCCAUCAGGAAAGACAUCACUCACAGAAGAAGCACCGGCUAACUCCGUGCCAGCAGCCGCGGUAAUACGGAGGGUGCGAGCGUCAAUCGGAAUUACUGGGCGUAAAGCGCGCGUAGGUGGCUUGAUAAGCCGGUUGUGAAAGCCCCGGGCUCAACCUGGGAACGGCAUCCGGAACUGUCAAGCUAGAGUGCAGGAGAGGAAGGUAGAAUUCCCGGUGUAGCGGUGAAAUGCGUAGAGAUCGGGAGGAAUACCAGUGGCGAAGGCGGCCUUCUGGACUGACACUGACACUGAGGUGCGAAAGCGUGGGUAGCAAACAGGAUUAGAUACCCGAGUAGUC